rnacentral:lncRNA from 1 species
CGAGUAGCGGUGGCUGAAGAACGAGCAGGAGCUUGAAUUUCAGUUUUCUUAUGAGGAAUUUUCCAGAAAAGAUAUCUUCACUGUGAAAUAACUAAAUAAAUGCCCACUCAGUACAGUCACUGUCUCCCUUUUGGAACUUGAUGGCACCUUAAGCCCAGGUUUGCCUCCACUCUAGAAACUCAUCAGAGUGAUGCCCUUCUCAAAUGGGGGAGGUCCCAAAGCGGAUAUCCUGGCAGUGUGAAAGGCCGGCUAAAGGUUUGUGCCAAGAGGAUCUGUGGAAUGCAUCUCCUACAGCUGGUGCUGCUGAGUAACCACUCUGAUCUGGCAUCUUCUUUGAUCAAGUUACAGAGCAGAGUUUCCAGGGCUGGGGAUUGAAGUCCUGCCUCCUCCCUUUGUCUCUGGUUGUCCUCGGUAAUGUUUUUCCCUCAAGGUACUCAUGAUACUUCCCAUGGGGUGAGUCAGGGACAGGUCUCUUUCCAGGGAAUCCAGGAUGGUAGGGAGGUUGGUUGUCUACCUUGAUCUCACUUUUUCCAUUGUAGAAACUGUGAGUUGGGGAAAGUUUUCCACACACUUGGUGCUGGACAGAUUGUGGCAAGGGGCACCACAGAUAUAAAAAUCUGAUUCUUUUACCAUGCUCAGAGUUUUUUCACUUCUGUGUCCCCAGGAAUUGACUCAUCCUCAUAUCUGAGUUCUGGGAUAUUGUUGGUGAUAAUCUCAGUGCUGUAUAUUUGUUUUUGGUUUUCUGGUGUGGAAGUGAAGCCAGCUUGCGUCUACACUGCCAUUUUUGAACUAGAAGUCCACCUGAUGCCAUGUGGGUCUGCUCUAACAAAGAUGCCUGUAGCUGUCUCUGUAGGUACAAUUGGAGCUACUACCUCAUAAAGUUUGUGGUAGCCCACUAUCUGGUUUUUGGAGGGGCUAGACUGGUAAAUUAAAUGGAGAUACAAUUUGAACCAUCAUCCCCGAAUCUUUUAGGUCUUUUAGGAUGGCAUUAAUUUCUGCCAUUCCCUGAAAUAUUAUUUUUUGAUUUACUGUAUUGGUAUGGAGAAGAGGUCAAUUUUUAAAGCUUCCACCUGGCCACUUGGCCUUUAUCACUAUGUUAGCUCUUACCACACACACCGAGAAACCUGGUGCCACUAAUCAAGUGUAUUUAUCACAAUUAUACACUCAAGGACUAGGUGGGUCUGUGGAUAUAUUGUGAGCCAGACUUGGGCCAGGACACCCUAGGACUUGGCCUCCAUAACCCUUACUCUAAUCAAGGGCAUAUAGUGAGAGUUCUGUGAUAUCAUUGUUAACUCAGACCCUGUUUCCAACAGAUAUCAAAAUGUUGAGUAUUCCCCUUUCACCACUGUAUGAUUUCCUGAGUAAUGGUGAUAGGUCCCUUUGGAGAAGGACUAGAGGAAUCAUUAUUGUGCACACUUGUGGUAUUACACAAUCCUUCCUCCUGGGGACCCAGAUUCUUCUUUAGUUAAUGGGCCUGGAUCCAAAAACGGACUCAGGUCUGGAAAUCGGACAAGGGGUCAUGAUUAUUUUUUAUUUUUAUUUAUUUAUUUAUUUAUUUAUUUUUGAGACAGAGUCUCCCUCUUUAGCCCAGGCUGGAGUGCAGUGGCACAAUCUCUACUCAUGGCAACCUCCAUCUCCUGGGUUCAAGCAAUUCUUUUGCCUCAGCCUCCCGAGUAACUGGAUUACAGGCGCGCACCACCUUGCCCGGCUAAUGUUUGUAUUUUUAGUAGAGACAGGGUUUCACCAUGUUGGCCAGGCUGGUCUUGAACUACUGGCCUCAGGGAAUCCACCCUCCUCGGCCUUCCAAAGUACUAAAUUUAUAGUCAUGAGCCACUGCACCCCGCCAGUUUAACUUUUUUUUAAUUGGCUUAGUUGCCAAGAGAGGAAGUUGGGGAGGAUCCUGAGGAGUGUAUGUUUUGUCCUUGGAGAGAGAGCUCAUUGUCUUCAAGCAAAAGAGGGAGCACACUAGCCCUUAUUAGAGAAGAGAGGGGCACUUCUGUAGCCUUAGAAGGUUCUGGAAACCUGAGGAUUGAAGAUUUUUCAGGUGCAUCAACCCAGAUGGUUUCAUCCCAUGUGUCAGGGUUCCAUUUUUUCCCAAUCAGGGUCCUGACAACAGCACAGUAGACCUGCCUAGCUUGGGUCCUAACUUCUUUGGAGUUUUAUUCUCAUGACUAAGUCCUGGGCCUGGUCCUCAGCUUCCUCUCCUCAUUGGCUUGAGAACCUGAGAGUCUCAUAUUCUACGAGGGAGGCUUUCUGGCCCUCACACUGAGUUUUUGUUUGUUUUUGAGACAAGAUCUUGCUUUGUCACUAAGGCUGAGUGUGUAGUUGCACCCAGGCUGGGAGUGCAGUGGCACAGUAAGCUACUGUAACCUUGAACUCCUGGACCCAAAUUAUCCUCUGGCCUCAGCCUCUUGAGUAACAGAACAACAAAUGCAUGCCACUAUGCCCUGCUGAUUUUAAAUUUUUGUGGAGAUGGGCCUUGCUAUGUUGCCCAGGCUGGUCUUGAAUUCCUGGCCUCAAGCUAUCCUCCCUUUUCAGUCUUCUGAGGCACUGGAAUUACAGGCAUGAGCCACGGCUCUUGGUCCCACACUCAGCUUCUAAUUACCAACUAAUCACUCUCAUUCUUUUAUUUUGAGACAGGGUCUCAUUCUGUAGCUCAAGCUGGAGUACAGUAGUGCAAAUAUAGCUCACUGCAGCCUCAAACUCCUGGGGUCAGGUGAUCUUCUUGCCUCAGCUUCCCAAAUAGCUAGGACUACAGCCACAAGCUACUGGGCAUGGAUAAUUUUUUAAAUAUUUGUAGAGACAGGGUCUCGCUAUGUUGCCCAGGCUGGUCUCAAACUCCUGGCUCAGCCUCCCAAAGUGCUGGGAUUACAAGUGUGAGCCACUAUGCCUGGCCCAUUCUCAUUCUUCUGUUAUCUUUUUCCAAGGUAUCGGUCUAGCUCAGUAAUAACUCUUCAGUUCCACUGUCUACACUGUUUCCCACCUGAUCUUCGUGCCUGCCGGUGCAUUUCUUUGUGUUGACAUGCCAUCUCAGUUCACCACUAGUCAAAGUUUUAAUAACUGCACUGUCAGGGUGUGCUAGCAGUUAACUUCUCCCUGCCCCAGUGAGGAGACUCUCAUCCUAUAAGUGAGAAGGCAAGAGAAAUGGCUCCAAAAGCACACUGGAGCACCUACUUUCCUGCAACCCUUCUGAUACCAAGUAUCACAGAUGCUGAGAUGAAGAUUAGUGGGUAGGAGAUUUGGAUUGCCACCUGUGGAAAGAAAGGAAACUCCACUGGGUGGAGGAAGAAUAUGGACUAUGAUGCAAUCUCAAAGGUGGCCUUAGCUGACACUAAGGGGAACUCUGAAGCUAGGAUGGUCUUUCAGAUUGUUCUAAUAUGGGGCAAUGGGACUAGUCUUUGCAUGCAGCCUGGCCCAAGAAGGAAGUGUGACUUCAGAUGAGGUGGCUCUUUUCACUUAAGAGGGCAAUUCUACUGACAGCUGAGGGCCGUUGGGUGCACACUGCCAGAGCGAGAAAACAAAAUCCUCUGUAGGGAAGGGGACUGUGUGGCAUAUCACAGCACACCCCGAGAACAAGGGAGCGGCUCUUCAUCAAAUAACACAAUAUGGGCCCACAUAUUCCCAGAGGCUGCUAUAGUGCUGGGCACAUUAGUGCUCAAUAACUUAUUGAAUUAGUAUUAUCAUAUUGUGCUAUUGCCAUCCUCAUCUUUUAAAGUCACUUAUCACUUAAUGGAUGUUCUUGUUAGAACUGACACUAUGAAGAUGACUAUGACACAAUUACCUGUUGAGCCUAUUUGAGAAAUUAACCUAUAUUUAACAAGUUUGACUAAUUAGAUUGGUUAAGAGCCUUAGCAGAGGGCUAAACAAAAUGGUGUUAAAGAAUACACCUGAUGGUCCAAGAAAAUCCCUAACUCCCUAGAAGGUCUGGAUAGUCUGAGAAGUGACAUUCGAACAGUGUAAUGCACUUUCCUCCAGAGCCAGAAGCAGGGAAAGCAGAGGCAGCAGCAAUUUUAUCUUCUGGGCACCUUAUCCUCAGACCUCAUUUUAUCAAUACAUACGGACUGUCUACAACCACGUAAUAUCCUUUUCAUCAGCCUUAUGAAAUUUUCCCCCAAUUUAUCCAAGUCAGGAUUUCAGUAUGCAGAAGUCUAAUGUCAUCUUGGAGAGUUCAUUGUGCCUCCCCCAUAUCCAAGACCAUUUACUAAAACCUUAGUUCAGUCUUUAAAGAGUCACAAGAUCCUAUUAUGCCUAGUUUUUUUUCCAGUCUUUUAAGUCUAUUCCUUACCUUGCCAAAAAAGUACCUGUUUCUAUGGUUUAACAAAUGGAGCUUAGAAUAUGGAACUAUGGUAAGUGCUCUUUAGAAUUUAAAAUAAGUUACAUGUACUGGUUUUCCUUUAUUUUGUAGUUUUGUUCUCAAAGAAUUCCAGAUAUGAUUUUUUUCCAGACAAAAAUACCUGCUACAUGCUUCCUUCUGUAUGAAUACAUGAGACCUACCUUCAUUCAUGUUUCCUCUAUGAAGCUUUCCCUGCACUCCAAACACAGAGCUGAGACUUCCACCUAAUGUAGAAAGCUAGCACGAGCCGGCGCUGACAGAUGGAAGACUUGAGAUGUUACAAGAUUAUAUAUGGAAACACAAAAGGAGUGGAGUUGCUGGGUCAUAUGGCAAUUCAUUUGAGGAACUGAGAAGCUUAUUCCAUGGAGGCUGAACUGUUUUAUAUUCCCACCAGCAACGUGUAAGGUUCCAGUUUAUCUACAUCAUCACCAACACUUGCUAUUUUCCAUUUCAUUAAUGAUAGCCAUCCUAGUGGAUUUGAAGUGGUACCUUAUUAUCGUGGUUUUGAUUGCAUUCUCUAUUGACUAAUGAUAUCGAGCAUCUUUUCAUGUAUUUUUUGGUCAUUUGGUCAUUUUUCUUUUUUAAUUUUAAAAUUUUGAGACAGGCUCUCACUAUGUUGCCCAGGUGGUCUCAAACUCCUGGGUUCCAGCGAUGCUCAUGCCUCAGUCUCCCAAAGGGGUGGGAUUACAGGUGUGAGCCACUUUGCCCAGCCCAUUUGUAUAUCUCCUUUGGAGAAUAUCUAGGUUCUUUUGAAGGUAGCUGCAUAUAAACUAGCCAAAUUAACAGACUGUGGUUUUUAGAUGGCUUUCCAUAUCUACAAGAACUAUUUAGUUCUCAAAACUGGGAAGAAAUGUUUCAGAGGCAUCAUUAAUUCAUAAUCUAAAAAUUUAUCUUGGGUUUCCUUUUUUCCCCCAGAUUCUGUAUCCUCCAUAGUCCUAUUCAUGACAUGGGUCGUUCAUCUCUGUAUUCUAAACCCUCAAUGAACUGUAGACAGUAAUAAAUAUUUAUUGGAUGAA